rnacentral:misc_RNA from 1 species
GAAAUGCGAUAAGUAAUGCGAAUUGCAGAAUUCAGUGAAUCAUCGAAUCUUUGAACGCACAUUGCGCCCCUUGGUAUUCCAUGGGGCAUGCCUGUUCGAGCGUCAUUUGUACCCUCAAGCUCUGCUUGGUGUUGGGUGUUUGUCCCCGUCUCCGCGCGUGGACUCGCCCCAAAGUGAUUGGCAGCCGGCGUACUGGUCCCGGAGCGCAGCACAUGUCGCGCAAACGAGUGCCUUGGUACGGCGGCGUCCAUAAGCCCCUCUCUCACGCUCUUGACCUCGGAUCAGGUAGGGAUACCCGCUGAACUUAAGC